rnacentral:rRNA from 1 species
GACGAACGCUGGCGGCGUGCUUAACACAUGCAAGUCGAACGAAGAGCGAUGAAGCUUGCUUCUAUCAAUCUUAGUGGCGAACGGGUGAGUAACGCGUAAUCAACCUGCCCUUCAGAGGGGGACAACAGUUGGAAACGACUGCUAAUACCGCAUACGAUCUAACCUCGGCAUCGAGGAAAGAUGAAAGGUGGCCUCUAUUUAUAAGCUAUCACUGAAGGAGGGGAUUGCGUCUGAUUAGCUAGUUGGAGGGGUAACGGCCCACCAAGGCGAUGAUCAGUAGCCGGUCUGAGAGGAUGAACGGCCACAUUGGGACUGAGACACGGCCCAGACUCCUACGGGAGGCAGCAGUGGGGAAUCUUCCGCAAUGGACGAAAGUCUGACGGAGCAACGCCGCGUGAGUGAUGACGGCCUUCGGGUUGUAAAGCUCUGUUAAUCGGGACGAGAGGCCUUUCUUGCGAAUAGUGAGAAGGAUUGACGGUACCGGAAUAGAAAGCCACGGCUAA